GAUGAACGCUGGCGGCGUGCCUAAUACAUGCAAGUCGAGCGAACAGAUGAGGAGCUUGCUCCUCUGACGUUAGCGGCGGACGGGUGAGUAACACGUGGAUACCCUACCUAUAAGACUGGGAUAACUUCGGGAAACCGGAGCUAAUACCGGAUAAUAUAUUGAACCGCAUGGUUCAAUAGUGAAAGACGGUUUUGCUGUCACUUAUAGAUGGAUCCGCGCCGCAUUAGCUAGUUGGUAAGGUAACGGCUUACCAAGGCAACGAUGCGUAGCCGACCUGAGAGGGAGAUCGGCCACACUGGAAAGUAGCACCGGUCCAGACACCGACGGGAGGACACAGUAGGGAAUCUUCCGCAAUGUGCGAAAGCCUAACAGAGCAAAGCCGAGUGAAUGAUGAAGGUCUUAGGAUCGGAAAACUCUGUGAUUAGGGAAGAACAAAGGCGUAAGAAACUAUGCACGUCUUGACGGUACCUAAUCAGAAAGCCACGGCUAACUACGUG
rnacentral:rRNA from 1 species